rnacentral:lncRNA from 1 species
AAUCGAACUCCGUCUGAACUUCUAUAGCGGAUGGAUCCUGGACGAACUUCUACAAUAGACGGGCUCCAGCAGUUGGGUUUCCACAACGGCCGACCACCUCCGGUGUCUGUCGAACCUUCCCAGCCAUCAACCUUCAAUAGCAUCAGUCGGGCUUCAACAACGCCCUCCAGACUUCCACAAGAUCCCCCAGACUCCUCCAGCAGAUGAACCUCUCCAAUGCCACCCGAAGUCCACCGCCGACCGACCCUUUACCAGAUUCUUCAUGAAAUUGGACUUCUCCAAUAGAAAGUCCCCAUCCGAGCUUCUACAACAGAUAACUCCCGCCUGCAGCAUCAGCGCUCUAGGCACCCAAUAAUAGUAGACUCG